AGGUCAGCCACCUGCAGCCAAGGAGAGAGGCCUCUGAGGAAACCAACCCUGCCAGCACUUUGAUCUUGAACUUCCAGCCUCCAGAACUGUGAGAAAGUAUAUUCCUGUUGUUUAAGCCACCCAGUCUAUGGCAUUUUGUUUUGGCAGCUUUAGCAGACUAAUAUACUUCCCCAUUCCCCCACAGUGCUUCCUGGGGUCAAUUCUCAGAUAAAUGAUUUGCACUUUAAUCCUUAUCUCAGGGGCCAGGUGGGAGGGGGCUCACGCCUGUAAUCCCAGCACUUUGGGAAGCCGAGGUGGGCAGAUCACCUGAGGUCAGGAGUUCAAGAGCAGCCUGACCAACAUAGUGAAACAUCGUCUCCACUAACUUUACAAAAUGUAGCUGGGUGGGGCGGCACAUUGCUGUAGUCCCAGCUACUCAGGAGGCUGAGGCAGGAGAAUCCCUUGAACCCGGGAGGUGGAGGUUGCAGUGAACUGAGAUCGUGCCACUGCACUACAGCCUGGGUGACAGAGUGACUUCGUCUAAAAAAAAAAAAAUUAUCUCAGGAAACCAACUCGCAGACCAACAACGCAUAUAUGGUGGGACAUAGACCCCAAGUAAGAGUGAAGCGAAGACUCAACUUUAACCACCACCCUCUAAGUUUCUUUUGAGGAGCUUGGAGAACGUCACUCCCUGUGGGUCUAAGUGGUACAGGCGCUAAAAAAUUAUUUAGGCAGAUAGUGAGGGUAAGGAAGUCCUCGGCUGUUUCCCUUUUAACAAAAAGCAGUCCCUAAAUCAUUUAUUUUCUAACAAAGAGCAGCCUGUAAAAUCGAGCUGCAGACAUAGAUAAGCAAGCUGGAAGCUUGCAUGGGUGAAUGCAGCAGCUGUGCCAAUAGGAAAAGGCUACGUGGCGGCCAGGCAUGUUCAACAUGGCGGCUCCAUCUUCCCUUUUCUUUGUCAACUAGGUGUACAGUAAGGAACCGACAACAUCACACCGGCCAGGUAGAGAAGCCAUUUGCAUAAUAGAAGAUUAGGGUGGGGUGGCCAGCUUCUUUGCGCGCUUUGUAAACAUCACACCUAGUCCACCAAUCUUUGGGCCCUAUGUAAAUUAGACAACACCUCCUCAAGCCAGUCUAUAAACCCUCCCCUCCCCGCACAUGCAUUUCACCGCAAAACCCAAAGACCCACUUAGGUGUCCCCUCUCUCCGCAGAAGAGAGAGCUUUUCCCUUUCUCUCUGUUAAACCUCUUCUCUUAAACUCACUUCUUGCGUGUCCUCGUCCUCGAUUUCCUUGGCGUAAGACGACGAACCUCAGGCAUUUACCCCAGACAACGAAGGUGCUUCAUAAGGUCAUGCAGCUGGGUCAACAUAGGACUGUGUAGCCAAGAGCUACAGGAUGGAUUGCUGAGGCCAGGGAGAUUGAAAGGAAGUCACAGCCCAAUCUCAGAGGGAUCCACGGAGCCAGCGAAAGCUAAGGCGGGACUUACCCAACAGAGGGUCCUGGCCCAGUCACCCAGUGGCACAACCCAACUGGGAGAUCUGAGCAUCUACCAACUGUGGCCACCAGUGAGAUGGUGUCAUUGUCUGGGAGGCCAGCAGAAGUCUCAGUGAUCGGGCAGGACAAAGGACAUUUCUGCAGAGAAUACUGAAGGUCCAGGAGACAGCACAGUGGGACAUAUGUGGGCCCCUGCCCCAUCAUUAGGAGGAAGUGUAGGCUUUUCUGAGGACCUGGAUGCCAUACCAUCUUGAGACAGAGAAUGAGGAACCAACCCUUGACAAGAGAGAGAUGGCCCUGGUAGAGAAUUUGAACCUUGAAUUGGAUUGAAUAUUUAUCCAAAAGAAAUUGAACCAGCACUAGAGAGACUGUUUUGAACUAGAAGUAACCAAGUUACCUUAACUGGAAGUUAGGAUUUUUCCACCCCUGACAUCAGUGGGACAAGGGCACAUGAGCAAGAUAUUUACGGACAAAGAAGAACGUUCAUGUUUUGUACACCUGCUUUGUAGUAUGUUGCAGAUACCGUUGGUUCCCCUGAUUUCAGGUGUUCUCGUUCUUUCUGUACAGUCACUUGCUCAGGGCAAAUGGUCCUCUCCUGCAUGACUCAGAAGCACAUACUGAUUAUUCUAAACUGGUCUUCAUGCCCCGUUCCCUUGUCAGUGAUGUAGUUAGGCAAAGGAUUAUGUAACAAUUCUGGCUAUGAGACAUUGAAACUUCUACUGUGGGGCAUCUGGGAAGAUUUUUCUCAUUGAAAAGAAGAGACGCAGGGUGUGGAGACUCAUGCCUGUAAUCCGAGCCCUUGGGAGGCCCAGGAGGGAGGGUCACCUGAGUCCAAGAGCUCAAGGCCAGUUCGAGCAACAUACCAAGGCUGCAAUAAACAAGCAAACAAACAAACAAACAUUAGCUGGGCACGGUAGUGCACACCUGUAGUCCCAGCUACUCAGGAGGCUGAAAUGGGAGGAUUGCUUGAGCCCAGGAGUUUGAGGCUGCAGUGAGCUAUGAUUGCACCACUGCACUUCAGCCUGGGCAACAGAGCGAGAUCCUGUCUCUAUAAAAAAAUUUUAAAAAAAGGAAGAAAAGAAAAGAAGAGACACACGUGGAAGAAACAGUCUCUAUUCUGAUGCAAGUAAUGACUGGAACUGUGGCAGACAGCUUGGAACCAUGAGAGGAGUUAACUGAGGGCUAUCAGGGAAACUAGAAGAAGCCUGGGUCCUUGAGGAGGCAGACUACUAAAUGGACCAUCGUCCCUUCACCCUUUUUGUUAUGUGAGAUAAUAAACUCUCUAAUUUAAAUCUACUUGAGAUGAAUAUCUGAUACUUGUAGCCAAAAUCAUCCUUAAUGGGACAGAGUGUGGGUAAAUUAUCAACCUUGCUAGCCUUGCCUCAUAAUUUUUGAAUUUAUUUUUAUCUUUUAAUUUUGUUUAUUUUUUAUUUUUAAAGUAGAGACAGGAUCUCAUUAUGUUGCUCAGGCUGGUCUCGAAUCCCUGGCCUCAAGGGAUCCUCCUGCCUCAGCCUCCUAAAGUGCUGAGAUUACAGGUAUGAGCCCCUAUGCCAGGCCAUUGCUUUGCCAUUGUAUCCAUGUGAUUGCAAAAAAGAAAAUCGUGCUAAUAGUCAUUAGCUUUGAAAGACACUUGGAAUUUCUUCCUUCAAGCGAGCUUUAUUCCCAAACUGUUGAACCCUCUGGGUUUGACAGCAGGAUCUACUUCACAUGGUAGCAUCUCCUUCUAUUUGCCUUCAAGACAUUUCCUAAGGGAAGAGAUGAAGACACACUUGUAACGUGAACAAAAUAAUCCUUUUUCCUUUUAAAAAUGUAUGAUUAAAAUGUAAAAUAUAUAUAUAUAUUCUUAAAUGUAAAAUAUAUAUAUAUAUCUUCUAGAGUUGCCUGGAAAGUGAGCUGAGAGCAGUUAAACAUCAAACCCACUGCUGCUUUCCAGCUUUAACCAGAAUCACCAUUGUCUUUCCCUAUGAAAGAAAGGAAAUCUUAGAACUUAAAAGGAUUUCAAGAAGAACUGAAUUUUAACCACUGAGAUGACCAGAGAUGUAAGGCUCACACUGACUGAAGCAGUAUAAUUUGGCUGUCUUUUUAACAUUCAGAAUUCUCUCUGACUCUCCAAAAUUGCAUCUACUUUGAUGAGCUUAUUUUUUUCCUCAACCAAAUUACAUUUCUUGGAGUUCACCUGAUACAUCAUGCCUACUUACUUUUUUUUUUAGAUGGAGUCUUGCUCUGUCACCCAGGCUGGAGUGCAGUGGUGCAAUCUCGGCUCAUUGCAACCUCUGCCUCCCAGGUUCAAGUGAUUCUCCUGCCUCAGCCCCCCAAGUAGCUGGGAUUACAGGUGCGUGCCACCACGCCCAGCUAAUUUUUGUAUUUUUAGUAGAGACAGGGUUUCGCCAUGUUGGUCAGGCUGGUCUCGAACUCCUGACCUCAAGUGACCCACCUGCCUUGGCCUCCCAAAGCGCUGGGAUUACAGGGGUAAGCCACCAUGUCCAGCCCUGCCUACUUACUUUGAACAAAUUAUUUCAGGCUAAUUUACUAGCUGGAGAGAAAGAGGGAGGGAAGCAGGGAGGAAGCAAAGAUAGAGGGAGAGAAAGAGAGGGAGACAGAGAGGAAGAGGGAGAGGGAGAGGAGAGAGAGAGAAAGAAUGAAUUGUGUUCUCCCAAAAUUAGUAUGUUGAAGUCUUAAUAUCCCAGUACCUCAGACUAUGACUGUAUCUGUAGAUAGGGCUUUUGAAAAGGUGAUUAUGUUUAAAUGAGGCCAUUGGGGUGGGCCCUAAUCCAGUCCAACUGUUGUCAUUGUAAGAAGAAGAGAUUAGGACACAGAGAUACCAGGCAUGUGCGUGCCCAGACAGACAACUAUGUGAAGAGACAACAAUAGGUCAGCCAUCUGCAAGCUGAGGAGAGAGGCCUCAGAGGAAACCAACCCUGCCGGCACCUUGAUCUUGGAGUUCCAGCCUCCAGAACUGUGAGAAAAUGUAUUCCUGUUGUUGAAGCCAUUUCUGUUGUUCUGUGGCAUUUUGUUAUGGCAGCCCUAGCAAACUAAUAUGAUAAUUAACUCUUCCAAGUGCUGUUUCCAUUACAAAGUAUCCCAGAAUUUUAUAUUGGUGAAUCUGUGUUCCUCAGGCCAUGUCUUCCCUGUUGGAAAUGCUGUUAUUAUGUCCCAAGGUGACUUCAAGGAGUGGGUUAGAGGCUGAGACAGAGGGUGUGAGAUCGUCACUACUGUAACCUUGCUUUGUUCAGUAUGAACAUGCUCAGAUAUUCUCUGUUUUGUAUUGGGAGAUCGGGAAAGGAUUUAUUGAAAAAAUGUUUCCAUUAGCAAAUGAAGUUUGAAGGCAACUACCGUCUACAAGAGCAAACAAAUGCAUAAAAUUCAAAUAUUAUUUUGUCCCAACCUCAGUGUCAUGAGGGUCUCUUAUACAGAAUAGUAGAUGAGAAUAAAAUUUGAAUUGAUAAUACUGGAAUAGAGUAGUCAUUAUGCAAUGUAACAAACCUCAAAUAUUCAGUGGUUUAACACUAUAGAUGUUUAUUUACCACUCAUUCAAUGUAUGUGUUCCUUGUUAGCAGUAGUUUUCCUUGUAGUCAUUCAGGAAUCCAGGCAUAUUAGUUAUCUAUUUCUGUGUACCCCAUAAAAACCAUUUAUUAUUGCACACUUUCAGAGGGUCAGUAAUUUGGGAGUGGCUUAGCUGGGGUGUUCUGACCAGAGUCUCUCUUGAGGUUGUAGUCAAGAUGUUGGCUAGGGUUGCCAUCAUCUGAAAGCUUGACUGGGACUGUAUCCACUUUCAAGAUGGCGCACUUACUUGGCUGUUGGCAGGAAGCCUCAAUGACUUAUCAUGUGGUCUUCUCCACAGUGCUGCUUGAGCAUCCACACAACAUGGCGCUAGCUUCCCCCAGAAUCAGUUGCUCUGGGGGAAGCCAGCUGUCAUGUGACAAACAGCUCUCCACAGAGGAUUAUGGGGCAUGUAACUGAGGCCUCCAGCCAGCGGCCACGUCAGUGAGUUUGGAAAUAGGUCCUCUAGCCCAGUUGAGCCUUCAGAAGACGACAUGAGGAUUUGCUGCAGUUCUGCCCAACAUCUUGAUUUCAAGCUCAUGAGACAGCCUAAGCCCAAACCACCCAGCUAAGCCAUUCCUAGAUUCCUGACCCAAAGAAACUAUGUGAGAUUAUGUGUCUGGUAUUUUAAGCACUAAGUUCUGGGAUAAUUUGUUUUGAAGCAAUAGUUAAGAAAUACAAUGAGAUAACACUAAACGCAAUGAGAGAGCACUAAACACUAUACUUGGUGUAGAUAAGGUCAUGGAGCCACAGGAAUGCUCAUUUUGUGCUAGUGGAAAAGGAAAUUGGAAAAACCAUUUUGCAAUGUAUAACCAGGUGGCAAUAUCUACAGUUUUAAAGCUAUGCCUAUUAUAUGAUCUCACAGUUCCACUUCUAGGUAUAUAGUGCAUGAUCCUGUGCACAGGAGACAUGCACAUGAAUAUUCAUAGCAGGAAUGUUUGUAGUAGCCUCAAAUUGGAAACCAUCCACAUAUCCAUCAGUAAUGGAAUGGAUAAAUAAGUUUUGGUAGCAGUUGAGCCUUGAACAACACGAGUUUAAACUAUGUGGGUCCACUUAAUAUGCACAUUUUCUGGGUCCACUUAUAUGCAGAUUUUCUUCUACCUCUGCUACCCCUGAGAUGGUAAGACCAUCUUCCUUGAUCCACUUCCACAGUAAAUACAUUUUCUCUUUCUUAUGAUUUUCUUAAUAUCAUUUUCUUUUCCCUAAGCUUACUUGAUUGUAAGUGUACAGUAUGUGAUAAAAAUAACAUGCAAAAUAUGUGUUAAUCAACUGUUAAUGAUCAGUUAAUACUUCUGGUGAACAGUAGGCUGUAAGUAGUUAAGUUUUGGGGAAGUCAAAAGCAUAUGCAGAUAUUUGACUGUGUGGGGUGUUGGUAUCCCUAACCUCGUGCAUUGUUCAAGGGUCAAUUGUAUUUGUACAAUAAAAUGUUAUACAGCAAGGGUUGGAAGAUUUGUUCUGUUAAGGGCCAGAGAGUCAAUAUUUUAGGCUUUAAGGGCUGUACAGUCUCUGUCAUACCUAGUCAACUCUGCUGUUGUAGUAUGUAAGCAGCCACAGAGAAUAGGGAAAUGAAUAAGCAUGGCUAUAUUUCAAUUAUACUUUAUUUACAAAACAGAUGGGGAACUGGAUUUGGCACAGGGGCCACAGUUUUCUGACCAUUACUCUAUAAUAUUGAGAGUAAAAGGGGCCAGGUGCAGUGGCUCACAUCUGUGAUCCCAGCACUUUGGGAGGCUGAGGCAGGAGGAUUGCUUGAGGCCAGUAGAUCAAGACCAGUCUGGGCAACAUGGCGAGACCCCAUGAUAUGGUUUGGAUGUGUGUCCCUCCUCAAAUCUCAUGUCAAAUUGUAAUUCCCAGUGUUGGAGGAGAGGCCUGGUGGGAGGUGAUUGGAUCAUGGGGACAGGCUUUCCCCUUGCUGUUCUUGUGAUAGUGAGUUCUCAUGAGAUCUGGUUGUUUAAAAGUGUGUGGCACCUCCCCCUUCUCUCUCUUCUUCCUGCUCUGGCCACAUAAGACAAGCCUACUUCCACUUCACCUUCUGUCAUGAUUGUAAGUUUCCUGAGGCUUCCCCCACCAUGCUUCCUGUAGAGCCUACAGAACCAUGAGCCAAUAAACCUCUUUUCUUUAUAAAUUACCCAGUCUCAGGUAUUUCUUCAUAGCAGUGUGAGAAUGGACUAAUAUACCCCAUCUCUACAAAAAAAUUUAAAAAAUUAGCCAGGUGUGGUGGUGUGUGCUUGUGGUCCCAGCUACUUGGGAGGCUGAGAUGGGAGGAUCUUUUUAGCCCAGGAUGUGGAGGCUGCAGUGAGCCAUGCUCAGGAUUUUAGUCUGUUCUCACGCUGCUAAUAAAGACAUACCUGAGACUGGGUAAUUUAUAAAGGAAAGAGGUUUGAUGGACUCACAGUUCCACGUGGCUGAGGAGGCCUCACAAUUAUGGUAGAAGGUGAAGGAGGAGCAAAAUCAUGUCUUACAGGGCGGCAGGCAAGAGAGCAUGUGCCAGGAAACUGCCCUUUAUAAAACCAUCAGAUCUCACGAGACUUAUGCACUAUCAUGAGAACAGCACGAGAAAGAUCUGCCUCCAUGAUUCAAUUACCUCCCACAGCGUCCCUCCCAUGACACACGGGAAUUAUGAGAGUUACAAUUCAAGAUGAGAUUUGGGUGGGGACACAGCCAAACCAUAUCACUCAGGUUGGGUGACAGAGCAAGGCCCUGUCUCAAAAAAAUAAACAAGUAAAAUAAUAAAAAAAGAGAGAAUGAAAGAGCCCAGGUACAAACAAGAACAUAGAUAAGUCUUUGAAAAGUAUUGAAUGAAAGAAAUCGGACAUAAAAUAUGUACUCCUAUUUAUAAAAAGUUCAAAAGCAUGAAAAAUGAGACGAUAUUGUUGAGGGAGCAUCUUGAGGAGGUGAAACUAGAAGGCAAAACAAGGAAUUGAGUCUUUAAAAUGCCAGGAUUGUUGUUACUUUGGAGGGUAGAUAGGGGUGUGUAAUUGAGAAGGGGUACCUAAGGGACUCAUGGGGUGCUGGCAAUAACCUUAUUUAUUAAUCUGUUGGGGGUUUCACAGGUGUUUAUACAAUCUGGUAAGUUGUAUAUUUGUGUUUUGUGUUCUUUUCUGUAUUUGCAUUCUAUUUCUCAAUAAAUUGUUGAAGAAAAAUGAAUAUUAAGA
rnacentral:lncRNA from 1 species